rnacentral:rRNA from 1 species
GGGUAGCCGGCCUGAGAGGGUGACCGGCCACACUGGGACUGAGAUACGGCCCAGACUCCUACGGGAGGCAGCAGUGGGGAAUAUUGCACAAUGGGCGCAAGCCUGAUGCAGCGACGCCGCGUGAGGGAUGACGGCCUUCGGGUUGUAAACCUCUUUCAAUAGGGACGAAGCGCAAGUGACGGUACCUAUAGAAGAAGGACCGGCCAACUACGUGCCAGCAGCCGCGGUAAUACGUAGGGUCCGAGCGUUGUCCGGAAUUACUGGGCGUAAAGAGCUCGUAGGUGGUUUGUCGCGUUGUUCGUGAAAACUCACAGCUUAACUGUGGGCGUGCGGGCGAUACGGGCAGACUAGAGUACUGCAGGGGAGACUGGAAUUCCUGGUGUAGCGGUGGAAUGCGCAGAUAUCAGGAGGAACACCGGUGGCGAAGGCGGGUCUCUGGGCAGUAACUGACGCUGAGGAGCGAAAGCGUGGGGAGCGAACAGGAUUAGAUACCCUGGUAGUCCACGCCGUAAACGGUGGGUACUAGGUGUGGGUUUCCUUCCUUGGGAUCCGUGCCGUAGCUAACGCAUUAAGUACCCCGCCUGGGGAGUACGGCCGCAAGGCUAAAACUCAAAGAAAUUGACGGGGGCCCGCACAAGCGGCGGAGCAUGUGGAUUAAUUCGAUGCAACGCGAAGAACCUUACCUGGGUUUGACAUGCACAGGACGCCAGUAGAGAUAUUGGUUCCCUUGUGGCCUGUGUGCAGGUGGUGCAUGGCUGUCGUCAGCUCGUGUCGUGAGAUGUUGGGUUAAGUCCCGCAACGAGCGCAACCCUUGUCUCAUGUUGCCAGCACGUAAUGGUGGGGACUCGUGAGAGACUGCCGGGGUCAACUCGGAGGAAGGUGGGGAUGACGUCAAGUCAUCAUGCCCCUUAUGUCCAGGGCUUCACACAUGCUACAAUGGCCGGUACAAAGGGCUGCGAUGCCGUGAGGUGGAGCGAAUCCUUUCAAAGCCGGUCUCAGUUCGGAUCGGGGUCUGCAACUCGACCCCGUGAAGUCGGAGUCGCUAGUAAUCGCAGAUCAGCAACGCUGCGGUGAAUACGUUCCCGGGCCUUGUACACACCGCCCGUCACGUCAUGAAAGU